UCCAGUGCCAACAAAAGCCAAGAAGAACCUCUGGAGCAAUCAGUCUUGGCAACCAGGUCUGUGCAUAAUCUAGAGAUCAAAUUGUUCCUGAUUCUCAAUCUCUGAUGAGCUAUGCCACGCUUAGAAGGUGGACAAGCGGUGCAUCUUGAUGUGGAAAACAGGUUUUUCUUUACAUUUUCUCAAUCCUAGGAAGAAUGGACAUCACAAGGAA
rnacentral:lncRNA from 1 species